rnacentral:rRNA from 1 species
UACGGGGGGGGCAAGCGUUGUCCGGAUUUAUUGGGCGUAAAGAGUUCGUAGGCGGUUCGUUAAGUUUGAUGUUAAAGAUCAAGGCUCAACCUUGGGAUUGCAUUGAAUACUGGCGGACUUGAGUGCAGUAGAGGCGAGUGGAAUUCUCAGUGUAGCGGUGAAAUGCGUAGAUAUUGGGAAGAACACCGGUGGCGCAGGCGACUCGCUGGGCUGUAACUGACGCUGAGGAACGAAAGCUAGGGGAGCAAAUGGG